rnacentral:rRNA from 1 species
CGGACCCAUUCCGAACCCGGAAGCUAAGCCUCUCAGCGCCGAUGGUACUGCCCUGGAGACGGGGUGGGAGAGUAGGACGCCGCCGGAC